rnacentral:rRNA from 1 species
AACGAACGCUGGCGGCGCGUCUUAAACAUGCAAGUCGAACGAUCUGUAGCAAUACAGGGAGUGGCGGACGGGUGAGGAACACGUAGGAAUCUACCUAGAAGAGCGGGACAACUUUGGGAAACCGGGGCUAAUACCGCAUAGUACAGAGAUGUUAAAGGGCUAGCAAUAGUCGCUUCUAGUUGAGCCUGCGGUCUAUCAGCUUGUUGGUGAGGUAAUGGCUCACCAAGGCAGCGACGGAUAGCCGGUCUGAGAGGAUGAUCGGCCACACUGGCACUGAGACACGGGCCAGACUCCUACGGGAGGCAGCAGUUAAGAAUCUUGCGCAAUGGGGGAAACCCUGACGCAGCGACGCCGCGUGAAGGAUGAAGGCUUUCGGGUUGUAAACUUCGGUAGACUGGGAAGAAGAACUACGUUCGUUGAGGGCGUAGAGUAACGGUACCAGUCUGAAGCCCCGGCUAAUUACGUGCCAGCAGCCGCGGUAAU